GUCACGGCCGCCGCCGCCGCCGCCGCCGCCGGCCGCCGCCCCCCGGGGCUCUCUCCCGCCUGCGCCCGACUACCCUCUUCUCCCGGCACCGCCGCACUCGAGCCGCCGGCUCCUCCGCGGCGGGUUUUAUUCGGCGCCGGCGGAAGGUUCCACAAGGAGACAGUGACGCCACAAAGGCCCAGAACUUUCGCGGAGGUUCCGGCGGCGCCUGGAGCUGAUGGGCUGGGGCGCUGCGGCGGGUUAGCGGCCCGGACCCCCGACGCCCCGGCCCGGCGCCACCCCCCGGCUCACCCGGUCGCCUGUUCCUCCGGCCUGCCGGCCUGCCGUCUGAGUCCCCGGAACUCCAGUUCUGACUGCCGCCCCGGGCCAUGUUGCGGGGCUUGGAAGACGGCUUCGGAGUGGAGGGCGCCUUCCGACGGCCGCCCCGCCGCCCCGGGGCCGGCCCUUUUCCCUUGCGUGGGUCCGUGGGUCCGGCUGGCUCGAAGAUCGGGUGGCUUGGAGGGCAGCGUCGGCGGGAACCCUACUGGGAGGGCUGACCGGGCCUCUCCCUGGGGGUGUGGCCGCCCUCUGUUUGGUCAUGUCCGGAUGCGCCCGGAGGCAUGCCUCGGAUUGUUGCGUUUUUGAGGGGUUUGAAGUGGGUAGGGGCCCUCUACCGUGCUGGGGUCGCAUUUCCCGAGGCCAUUUCCUGAAGCUGCUGGCGCCCCCCGGGGCAUCUUCAAGGCUGAGCCAACACCUGAGGACACCUGAGGACACCUGAGGAAGAGCCUCUGUCUCCCAGUCUCUGUGAGAAAGUAGAAUUCUAACUUCAAUAAUACCAGCUAGCAGACACCACUGGCCUAGUUGCAUUUACACUUGACCUUUGGGCUUUUACAAAUAUAUAUAUAUAUGGAUCUUCUGAAAAGUUUUUUGAGGUGCACGUUUCUCUCUUUUGUUUUUCUCUUUGAUUUAUGGACACGAUGCUGAGAUUCAAUCACUACAUGAAACUCCCGGCUGUGAAAACAAAACAAAAAACCCAAAGGGCUGUUUUUUCCACCAGCCCUGGGGAAGCUAUGUGACGGUCGGAUGCCAGUUUCAGAAAGUUUCACCAUUCUUUCCACCCUAUGUUCCUCUCUUUCCUCCAGAAGGAAGUUGAUCCUAGUGAUUUCAGCCCAUGCAUUAAACAGGAAACAAUAAUAAAUGUGUAGAAUUCAUAUUUUUCUAAAGGGAACUUAAAAACUGCUGCUACUUUAUGUACAAAACUGGUUUAUACCACAUGAACACAGAAUCACAAGUUCGGUUUUGGUACUUUUCGUUCCGCUUUGUGUUCAGCUGUAUAGUACUUCCAAGUUCAAAAUGAGAAGAAAAGCUGUUCUGUAUCAAACCGUCUAAGCAAUAAAUGUUAUAUUCUAAAGAUGGAAGAAAAAAAAAAAUCCGCCUGCCAAUGCAGGGGACGCAGGUUCGAGCCCUGGUCUGGGAAGAUUCCACAUGCCGCGGAGCAGCUAAGCCCACAUGCCACAACUACUGAGCCUGCGCUCUAGAGCCCGCGAACCACAACUACUGAAGCCCAUGUGCCACAACUACUGAAGCCCGUGUGCCUAGAACCUGUGCUCUGCAACAAGAGAAGCCACUGCAAUGAGAAGCCCACGCACCGCAACGAAGAGUAGCCCCGCUCACCGCAACUAGAGAAAGCCCACGCGCAACAACGAAGACCCAAUG